rnacentral:rRNA from 1 species
AAAGCGCGCGUAGGUGGUUUGUUAAGUUGGAUGUGAAAUCCCCGGGCUCAACCUGGGAACUGCAUUCAAAACUGACUGACUAGAGUAUGGUAGAGGGUGGUGGAAUUUCCUGUGUAGCGGUGAAAUGCGUAGAUAUAGGAAGGAACACCAGUGGCGAAGGCGACCACCUGGACUAAUACUGACACUGAGGUGCGAAAGCGUGGGGAGCAAACAGGAUUAGAUACCCCUGU